GACCAGUAACGCGUUGACCUUUUCUUUGUUGAACGUUGACCGUUCCGUCUUAUAUAAAAUUCUUUUAUAAUUAGUAUUUUCAUUGUUGUUAGAUGAUAAAACAUGAUUAAUAUUUUAUGCGUGACUUACCUUUUUAUUUAUUUUCAUAUUUUUUUAAAUAAAACGAACGAUCAAAUAUUUGACACGCAAAUUUAAUGUUUGCCUUUUU
rnacentral:pre_miRNA from 1 species